rnacentral:rRNA from 1 species
UACGGGGGGGGCAAGCGUUGUUCGGAAUUACUGGGCGUAAAGGGCGCGUAGGUGGCCCGACAAGUCCGUGGUGAAAGCUCGACGCUCAACGUCGAGUCGGCCAUGGAUACUGUUGGGCUGGAGCACUGUAGAGGCUCAUGGAAUUCCGGGUGUAGCGGUGGAAUGCGUAGAGAUCCGGAAGAACACCGGUGGCGAAGGCGGUGAGCUGGGCAGUUGCUGACACUGAGGCGCGACAGCGUGGGGAGCAAACAGG